UCUGUUUCCUUUUUUACUUUGACAUUCGCCUGCGUUCUCACUAAAUUGCGUAAAAUUUUCGGAACUUUUAGUUGCGUUGCCCCGAAUAAAGACUAAAGAGCAUUCAAAAAGCGCCUUGCUGCUGUUCCUGCUGCAACGUACCACCAAAUUGGUUUGUAAUUCAACAUUGCGAUUUCUCUACAUUGUGCUGAUCCUGCUGCGUUGUGUCACCUUAUUGUGAGGUGAUUCAACAACCGAGUUUGAAGGCUGUUCCUGCUGCAUUGUGCCACCCUAUUGUAACGUAAUUUGAACUUCUGAGCUGUAAACUUCUUUCGUGGUAAGAUUUUACAUAAAGUAGAUCUUUUGUUAAAAUGUAAACAUGUACACGUUCUGAGAUUUUGUAGAAUAAAGAAUGAAACAUACAUAAGUGGCAAACUAUUUCACUUUGAAAUCGGGGAGCUAUGGUAUUAACCGAUACUGUAUAUAAAUACACAAAACAAACAAACAUUUUAUUUGUCACGUAGAAAGAAUCGUUUUAUAGCUUGGUGAUUUUUAGUCUACAGUUGUAUACUAGUUGUU